rnacentral:rRNA from 1 species
CUACGGAGGGGGCUAGCGUUGUUCGGAAUUACUGGGCGUAAAGCGUACGUAGGCGGACUGAUCAGUUGGGGGUGAAAUCCCAGGGCUUAACCCUGGAACUGCCUUCAAUACUGUCAGUCUUGAGAUUGGAAGAGGUGAGUGGAAUUCCUAGUGUAGAGGUGAAAUUCAUAGAUAUUAGGAGGAACACCAGUGGCGAAGGCGGCUCACUGGUCCAAUACUGACGCUGAGGUACGAAAGCGUGGGGAGCGAACAGGAUUAGAAACCCUUGUAGUCC